AACCCAGGCAUGGUGGCAAUGAUGUGCCAUGCUCACAUGGCUGAAUAGACAUAGAAUCCGGGGCAUGGAGGAGGUCAGAGACCUUUGUGCCACUGGUCAGUAAGUAGAUUGAUUAUUGGAUUUUCCCCUUGGUUUGGUUCAGUCUGUCCAGUAGCAGUUUCUAGCCCAGGGAGUUGAAACACAAGGCCUCUUAGGUAAGACUGACCCUGUAUUUUCCUGAUAAAGAAUAAUAAACUUUGUA